UACGUAGGGCGCAAGCGUUAUCCGGAAUUAUUGGGCGUAAAGAGCUCGUAGGCGGUGUGUCGCGUCGGCCGUGAAAACCUGCAGCUUAACUGUGGGCUUGCGGUCGAUACGGGCAUCACUGGAGUUCGGCAGGGGAGACUGGAAUUCCUGAUGUAGCGGUGAAAUGCGCAGAUAUCAGGAGGAACACCGAUAGCGAAGGCAGCUCGCUGGGACGGUACUGACGCUGAGGUGCGAAAGCGUGGGGAGCGAACAGG
rnacentral:rRNA from 1 species